rnacentral:rRNA from 1 species
UACAGAGGAGCCAAGCGUUGUCCGGAUUGACUGGGCGUAAAGCGCACGCAGGCGGACGCGCGCGUGGGGUGUGAAAUCUGGCCGCUUAACGGCCAGGCGCCAUCCCAUACGGCGCGUCUGGAGUGAUGCAGAGGUCGAUGGAAUUGCCGGUGUAGUGGUGAAAUGCGUAGAGAUCGGCAGGAACACCCAGGGGGAAACCAGUCGACUGGGCAUCUACUGACGCUGAGGUGCGAAAGCGUGGGGAGCAAACAGG